AUGUGUGUGCCAAAAGAGAGAGGAGGAAUGGGCUUCCGAGAUGUCCAUAGUUUCAACUUGGCGAUGCUAGCAAAACAAUGUUGGAGGCUUAUUGAGAAUUAUGGAUCCUUGUGUGCUCGCGUCCUUAGAGCAAGAUACUACCCUACGGGAGACAUUCUCAAUUGUGAACUUAAAAACGUAUCCUCUUACGUAUCGCAAAGUAUUUGGGCUGGUGUCCAGACUUUCAAAAAAGGGGUGCAUCUGGAGAGUGGGAGACGGUGCAAAGAUAAAUAUAUGGAAUGA
rnacentral:rRNA from 1 species